rnacentral:rRNA from 1 species
AACGAACGCUGGCGGCAGGCUUAACACAUGCAAGUCGAACGCGUGUAGCAAUACACGAGUGGCGCACGGGUGAGUAACGCGUGGAUAUCUGCCUUUUGGUUCGGAAUAACUCCGGGAAACUGGAGCUAAUACCGGAUGGUUCCUACGGGAUAAAGAUUUAUCGCCAAAAAGAUGAGUCCGCGUACGAUUAGCUAGUUGGUGAGGUAAUGGCUCACCAAGGCGACGAUCGUUAGCUGGUCUGAGAGGACGAUCAGCCACACUGGGACUGAGAUACGGCCCAGACUCCUACGGGAGGCAGCAGUGGGGAAUAUUGGACAAUGGGGGCAACCCUGAUCCAGUGAUGCCGCGUGUGUGAAGAAGGCCUGAGGGUUGUAAAGCACUUUAGUUGGGGAGGAAGAAUCCAGAGAUGAAUAAGCUAUGGAAAUGACGUUACCCAAAGAAUAAGCAACCGGCUAAACUCUGUGCCAGCAGCCGCGGUAAU